rnacentral:tRNA from 1 species
AGCGCUGUAGUUCAAUGGUAGAACAUCUCCAUGACACGGAGAAGACGCCGAUUCGAUUUCGGCCAGUGCUA